GACGAACGCUGGCGGCGUGCUUAACACAUGCAAGUCGAACGGAAAGGCCCUGCUUUUGUGGGGUGCUCGAGUGGCGAACGGGUGAGUAACACGUGAGUAACCUGCCCUUGACUUUGGGAUAACUUCAGGAAACAGGGGCUAAUACCGGGUAGGAGCUCCUGCUGCAUGGGGGGGGUUGGAAAGUUUCGGUGGUUGGGGCUGGUCUCGAGGGUUAUCAGCUUGUUGGUGGGGUAGUGGCUUACAAAGGCUUUGACGGGUAGCCGGCCUGAGAGGGUGACCGGCCACAUUGGGACUGAGGUACGGCCCAGACUCCUACGGGAGGCAGCAGUGGGGAAUAUUGCACAAUGGGCGGAAGCCUGAUGCAGCAACGCCGCGUGCGGGAUGACGGCCUACGGGUUGUAAACCGCUUUCGCCUGUGACGAAGCGUGAUUGACGGUAAUGGGUAAGGAAGCACCGGCUAACUACGUG
rnacentral:rRNA from 1 species